GGAGGAGUUGAGGGAGCUAACGGGAAGAAAAACUAAAAGCAAGAGAAAGCAAGGUUGAAUUUGGGCAGUGGACGGCUGGAGGAGAAAACAGAGAAAGGGAGGGGCUGAAGUCUGAGAGGAAAAGGAUUAGCGGCGAGAGUUUCUGGGCAGAAAAGAAAGGAAACAAUAGAAAGAUUUAGUAGUGGCUGAAGCCGAGAGCAAAAGGGAGAGGAGAAGAAAAUGCAGAGGAUUCCAGGGAGGAUGGCGGCUAAGAAAAUUGAGAGGAGAGAUUAGGGAGUGACCGACUGAGAACAAAGUGAAAAGAGAGGGGGUUAGGUUUGAAAGCGUCAAUAGAAAAACGGCAAAGGGAGCAACGGGAAGGGCCAGAAAAAUUCCAGAUUUUGCACUGCCUUCAUCAAAGCCAGUUGCAGGUCCCUUCUGAAUUCCGGUCUCCAUUUUCCUCAAGACAAGAUCUGUCAGGUAACCUCUUCUUUUCAUCUUUCUCCUCUAUACAUACACAGAAUUAUAUUUGGUUUCUGUCUUCAUUUCCUGUUUCUGGUCGGCACUUUCAUUCCCUGUUCCUAUCCCUGUUCCUGCCGAUUCCAUGUUCCUGUUGACUCAGAUUUUUGUGUCGAUAUGAAUUAGGAGAAGAAAAUGAAGUCUUGAUGAAUAUGUGGGCUUUACUUUAUCGUUUCAGUCUUUGUUCUCCAUGUUGAAGUGAUUAUCAGUUUCUGGUUUGAGUUGGAAAGUUUGAAACUCACCUGAGCUUGAUAAAACCGUGACUUUGAAACCAUGUGAAUCCAGUUUUUGCUCUCACUCGCAUGCUUAGUGUCAAAACUUGAUGAUUUUUUUUAGAAGUCUGUCUAGAGGUUCCCUUUAUCUCUGAUGCGUCCGUGAAGUCAAGAUUGCGGGAAAACGGCAACGAGCUCGAGUUUUAGCUCGUUGCAGCAGUCCCUUGUCGCAUGGUUAGUUUCGAGUUUUACCAAAAUUUUGCUAUCUAGUGUCAAUAAAAUUGCCCUGUUGUCUUAUGGAUUGGUAUGUCUUUCUUUUGUGCUGUUUCUUUUGGUAGUAAUACAUGUGAGUUGCAUGUUUUUGUUGGGAUGGGAACGGACAUAAUAUAUUGGCAUGUAAGCAAUGGAUUUGGCAUCCAUGAAGAGUUUUUGAGUAAACUUUAGCAGGUCGUAGUUCAUCCGUGUGUUUCCUCUUGCUGUUUUCCUUGCCUGUAACAACCCAGUCCACCAAGAGGCUUUCAUUACCUACUUGAUGAUAUAAAUUGGGCAAAGGGUGUUGGGUUUGCAUGUUUGGGGAAGCUGAAAUGCUUGAACCAUAUGCGGAUGCUUAAUGAAAAAGUGAAUUCCAGGUUGCUAAACCACUGUCACACGAAUGUUUUGUCCAGAUUUUACAUGCUUUCGUGUCCAACUUUUGGUGUUUCAAUCUACAAGUUUCAUGAUGCAAAAAUAAGAAGAAUGUGUGGUAGUUUGUUUGGAUUUAAUUGUGUUUGAAAAGCUGUUUUUUAAUUUGUGGGGAAGUGCAAGAAUUGCAGAGGCUUCAGCAACCAGAAAUGCUGCAAUGAAAGGAAACCAAAUAGGAGGAAGCUCUAAGGCUUAGUGAUCCUAUCCUGGGGUUUCCUUUGCAUGAUUUGGAUGUUAAUUGCCAACGAUUUUACUGUUUGGAUUCAAAGUGUUUGAUGUUCAGUCUAGAAAGUUUAAUUGAAGCAUAUGUUUGAAUCUGAAAGUGAAAUGGCAGCAGGUCGGAACUGUGGAAAGUCUUUGUAGCUGCUGCAUUUUUUGUAUAUUUUCCCUUGGCAGAAAACCUUGUCCGCACUUUUGUUUGCAUAAAGAUCUUUAGUGUUUCUGAUUUUUGUCAUUUCCUUGCAUGCAUGACAAGAACUUGAAGUUGGUUUUCGAUUUGAGAGGUUAGUGAGUCUGCCAAUGCGAGAUAGCAGAAGUUUAGCAUGAAAAUUUGCAGAGAACCUUGCUGCAUUUUUUGUUUUCCUUUUCCUUUCGGUCAACUCCAAUUCUUUGCUUCAAUCCUGCAACAAAAUUUCAUGUUUAGUUGAUGAUUGAUAGUUAAAAUCUUGGUUUGGUGAAUUUGUUUGCAUGAUGAAAUGGAUGAAAGGUUGUAACUGAAAUUUGCAGAAACCAGCAAUGAGAAAGGAAGCAUUCUGCGUGUUUUGCAUGAAAAUAUUCUCAAAAUUGCAGUCUAGUCCCUUGUUUCUUGGAUAACUCAACUAGGGCCCAGUUAAUUGAAUAAUUUCAUCAAUUUGGUCCUUGGUAGUUUUAAUUUUACAACUUUAUUGCAUGUUUGUUUCAAUUAAUUACUAUGCUUUGUUUCAAUUGCAAUUCAGUCAUGACUUUAGGGGUUUUGUGACCAAGUGAGCUUGUGUUUGCUUAUUUUCUUUAAUUUUUCCAAAUAAAUUGGUACAUUGACCAUUUCUUUUAUUUUGGAGGAUAAAUAAGUGAUUUCAUUCCGUUUAAGGCAUCAACUCAAGGGAGGUAUAACUUCUUUUAUCUUUUUUUGUCUCUCUUAUGUGAACCAACGUGCUACGUGAGAAAUACAUGUCUACUUUGCUUUCUUAGCCUUUCCUUAAUUCCUUGCAUUUAUUUCAUCUACUUUUACUUUUAUUUAAGUUAUUCUUUAAUGGGGUAUGUGUACACCUCUUGGCUUGUAAUAGAUAGGGCUUGGAGGAGCAUUCAAUGAAGACCUAUCGAAGUCAUGUGCCUAGCUAGCAAAUGUAAUAGUUAGGGCUUUAAUUGCCUUAUGUGUCUUGCAUGCUUAGUUGCUACGUGUUAAUUUGCUUUGUUAGGGCCUUGCAUCUAGUCGAGCAUGCUAAAUGUUAUGUGCUAUGUGUUUAUAAGUGUUUGGCAUGUCUACUUGCUUUCCAUAGCCUGAAUGAAUGUGAUGGAUGAAUGUACGUUUCCACUAGUCCAACGCUAGUCGGAAUUCAUAGAAUGAACUAGUCCAAUGCUAGACCCUUAGGGACUUCCCCUCGUUAGUACAUGUUUGCAUAUUCAUUACAUGUCAUGCAUUCUUUUUAGUUUUAUCAUUUUGCAUGCCCCUCGAACCCCUUUUCCCUCCAUUUUAGGAUUUUUGCAUUUCAUGCUAGUUAUAGGGUUCAUUUGCUUGAGAGUCCCCUUAAAUAUGGGAUAUAGACGAGUGUGGCUUUUUCUAAACCUUAGCACGCUUGUAUUCCCUCUAUAAAAGGGCAAAUUGAGUCACAAUUUAGGUCCCCCGUACCCAAUAUGCAUGAAUUCCCUAGGCUCAUGCAUUUUUAAAUCCACUCUACCAUUUUAUACCCUCAUCACACUUUCAUUUUUCCUCCCAUUUUGCACACGUGCACCUUUAUAUUUUCACUUGCACACGAGCACUUUUGUCACUACUUGCACACAUGCACUCCAUAUUAUCAUUUCACAUACUGCACCUUGCCCACUCACGUGCACACUCUCACUUACACAUUAUUGUCUUUUAUUGCUUUUUCAAACUCAUGCCCUCACAUUACAUACAUGCAUUCCAUUCAUUUGCAUCCCACUCGCAUUAUUCAUGACUCCUUCAAAGGAUCGUUGUUGGGCUUCACAAUUAAUGUGAUUGGCACCACUCAACCUUUGAAGAGAAAUUUCCCCC
rnacentral:lncRNA from 1 species